CGUUUUGAUAUUUGACGAAAUUUCAACAAUUCCAGUGUUUAUAAUUAUAUACUUGUAUUCAAGGCAAUCUGCAAUUCCACACAUAUAGCACCAUUCAAUAUCGUCAUGUUAUUUUGUAAAGACAAUACCUUCCCCCUUUCAAACAGUGGAACAAAUUCUUGUUUGCAGAAUUUGCAGGUGAGUGAUAUUUUUAAAUAAACUGAUUAUUUUAUAUACCAAUCUGAUACCAAUUCAG